AUUUGAUUCAAUAUGGAAAGAGAUUUGGCUAAUUAUGGAAAGUGGUUUAGGUUUAUCCUUUUUUUUGAAAGAGUCCCUCUUCACAAGGACUCUUCUCUCCUCUCUUGCACCAACUUUCCCCAAGCUUAUCCCUUCUUCUUGUAGCCCCUUUUGUGAGUUAUUUCAUGCUCUCCAUAAAAUUUAUGAGGGAGGGGGCAUCCAAGAGUUGGACGCCCCAUGGACUCCUUGUUAGACUAGGUUUUAUGACCUAGUCUACCAUAUAAAAAGUUGCCGCCCCAUAUGCUAUCAAAUAAGAGUCAAAAAUUCAUGGC
rnacentral:lncRNA from 1 species